rnacentral:misc_RNA from 1 species
GCCCAAGGUUCAAACCUG